rnacentral:lncRNA from 1 species
AUCGAUUCCAAUGAUGGGUUCCCUUCUCUCAUAGAGCUCGUUGUGAAACCCAGCCCCAUGUUCCUACCUUCUUGACCUCUUCCAAAACCAUUUCUGCCUCUGUAGAUCCACAUAUGCUGUCAUGUCUCUUGAAUGGUUUUGCACUUGAUUUCAACCGUCAAAAGACGGUGGGCUUGUGCAAUGUUGGGCAAUCCUUCAUCUGUUCUUUUUUAGUCUAUUACUCUGUUGUUUUUAUUCAUUAAUCUGUCGUUAUCAAAAUCAACCAUUAUGGGAGAGAUUUAAAUACCGAAUGUGUACCAUUUACAAAUAACCAUAGUUGUGAAAAAGAGCGGAGAGGGCAGGCUUCCACAUGUACAUCAAAGCAGUCACAGGGUGAAAGGUCCAGCAUAGGGAAUAUGAUCAAUGGAAUGGUAUUAGUGCUCUAUGGGGACCCAAAGAAUCUAUGCUUGGGGUGAGUGCAGUUUCAAUGAACGUAAGUGCCAAUCAUAGGUGGUACACCUGAAACAGAUGUAACCUUGUGGGUCAUCUUCACCCGAAUUUAAAAGCCGUAAUAAUGUGGUCAGCGGGGUGGUUCCUUCGGUUGAGCAUCUCUCUUUGGCUCGUGUCAUGAUCCCAGGGUCCUGGGUUACAAAAUAUUAUGCAUAUGUCAAAACACACCCAAAUGCAGCGCAGUUCUUAAUAGAAGUGGUCGACGUCAAUGAUAAUAAUAUCGCUACGCCGUUUUCUUGUAAUAAAUGUUCCACACUGAUGUUGGUGAGAAUAACUGUGGACGUUUUGUGCCAAACGAUAGGGUGACGGGUUUUUAUAGUAUAUGCUGCAUUAUGAUAUCAACCUAACCUUAACGUCAAGAAUAUGCUCUAUUUCUUAAAACACAAUAAGAGUUUUAUUUGCUAAUAUUAAACACGGACAAAUAUGUCCAAAUGUUAACUUACAACACUUCCCAUUAAAUCUGACCAAAUUAGAGUUCUCAAUGCGAUUUCACUAUUUUGGACACAAACUAAUGACUGACCUUUUAAAUUAAGAUGUGGACACAUGAAACAUAAACAAUA